AUACGGAGGGUGCGAGCGUUGUUCGGAUUUACUGGGCGUAAAGGGCGUGUAGGCGGAUAUGCAAGCUGGAGGUGAAAGCCCCGGGCUCAACCCGGGAAUUGCUUUGUAGAACUGCAUAUCUAGAGAAAGUCAGAGGCAGGUGGAAUUCCAGGUGUAGAGGUGAAAUUCGUAGAGAUCUGGAGGAACACCGGCGGCGAAGGCGGCCUGCUGGGACUUUUCUGACGCUGAGGCGCGAAAGCGUGGGGAGCAAACAGGAUUAGAAACCCCUGUAGUCC
rnacentral:rRNA from 1 species